UGGCUGCUCUAUUUUGAAUUUUUAAUUGGGUAUGUUUUAGGGAAAAGAGGAUUUGACUAAACGGAUUAAAUGGUUGGGCUAAGGAAUAUCAUUUUAAGAUGGGCUAUGGAUUUUAAUUUGGGACUUAGGGCCAAAAUAUUAGUGUAAUUUGAGAAAUUUACUUUAGGCCGAGAAUUAUUUGUUGCACAGGAAUAUCUUUGGAUCAAAAUAAAUAGUUGUGGUGACUUUCUGAUAAUAUCCUAGACGAUGUUUUAAUUUUCGAAAUAAUUAAUUCGAAGGAAAGCUGAGUUUUAAUAUAGUAGCACAGUGACGGUUUAAUUUUGUAAAAUAAAUUCAAAAAAAAAAAAAAAAAACUUUUAAGAAAGAGUAGAGAACAAACCAGAACCUCACUUUAGCAUGCAUUCCAAGUAUUAAUUUUCUUGAGUCUAAUUAGGUACAUGUUGUUUUAAAAAGGCUAUUUCUGCGAGCAAGUUAAAGUCGGAAUAAGAAAAUUCAAGUUAAGGAAACUAAGCUAACGAGGUUGAGCGGCGACGGGCGGGUGGGUGUUGAGCAAAGCCGAUGAAGAAUUUGUCUUAACUUUCUGAAUAUGUCAUGUCUUCACACAUGACAUAUUUCCUUUUAUCCUGAAUGCUUCCGUUGAUUUAUUACUUCAUUUGAGUUUAUACUUUUUCGAGAUGAUACUACGAUUCUUUUAUGCUAUUCCAAUUAUUUCGAGUGA